AAUGGUUCAAUAGGGUCGGCAUGAGAGCACAUGUGAUUUUUUUUUUAAAAAAAAAAUAAUGCAUCAUGUGUUCUCAGGUCGCCCCUGUAGAUCCAUU
rnacentral:pre_miRNA from 1 species